CCGGCGCACGGGUGAGUAGCGCGUAUGCAACCUGGCCGUGACAGAUGGAUAACCGGGAGAAAUCCCGCCUAAUACAACAUAAUGCCGGGAGGGGACAUCCCCUGCCGGCCAAAGGGGGCGACCCCGGUCACGGAUGGGCAUGCGGCGCAUUAGGUAGUUGGUGGGGCAACGGCCCACCAAGCCGACGAUGCGUAGGGGCUCUGAGAGGAAGGUCCCCCACAUUGGAACUGAGACACGGUCCAAACUCCUACGGAAGGCAGCAG
rnacentral:rRNA from 1 species